CUUGUUUCGAUUGCGCUUCUGUUUUAUAUAUUUUAUUUUGAUUGUUUUUUUUUUUUUAAGUUUGGUUCAUUUCAACUUUUGUACUUUUAAGCAAGUAUUCUGUAAAAACAACAACAACAAUGACAAACAUAAAUUGAAAUGUACAAAUUUUUACUUGAAACGAACCGAAAUGAAACGAAAUUAGCAUUGUAAUGAAACGAAAUGGAAAUAAACUAAAAGUACUACUAAGUUGAUUAGCCGGAUUCCAGUUAUCAUAAUUCCUGACAUUUUGAACAAUGUGGAAUCCGACAACAAAGUGGCCAACACACAUACGAGCAGACGUUAAGAAUUGUGAUUUUAUAUAUGCAUCUGCUGUGGUAGUUUUGUGAAUUGUGCGAAAUUACGUAUACCGCGACAAGUGAAUCUUCGCAUGGCACUGACGUGCGCCGUGAGCCUGUGAAAUUUCGCUGAAAAUCGAUAAGGACACAGGCAAAGUGCCACCGCGAAUGCAAAAGCAACGCAAAGUCACCAAACUAAAAGCACA